CAAGAAGCAUCUAAAGUGGAGAAGUUGAAGUGGAGAUUAGGCCUAAAGGGCUUUCAUGGUGUUAGCAGUGGUGGACGUAGUGGUGGACGUGCUUUGUUCUGGGAGGAGACGUUGUCAGUGACAGUGCUUGAAUCAUGUAAUAGAUUUAUUGACAUCAGGGUUCACGAUACGGGUUCUGAUUCUACUUGGAGAGGAACUUUUGUUUAUGGUGAACCGCGUGUGGAAAAUCGUCAGUGUAUGUGGGAUCAUCUUUGUCGCCUGAGAUCAAUCUCACAGGAUCCUUGGGUGGUGUGUGGAGACUUCAAUGAAGCAUUGUGGCAGCAUGAACAUCUAUCAAGAACGACUAGAUCGGAGUCUCAGAUGGAAGUAUUCAGAGAUUGCUUGGUAACUUGUGAGCUACAAGAUCUAGGUUUUUCGGGGCUCCCCUAUACAUACAAUAAUGGCCAGGAUGGCCAUCGCAAUGUUCAGGUGCGUCUCGACACGGCGUGUGCGGAUGAGGCACUGCGGGAUCUUUUUCCGGCGGCUAGAGUGGUGCACUUAGCCACUUCGUGCUCGGAUCAUAGCCCACUCUUGAUAUAUCUAGAGGGGGUGCAGGAGCAAAGGCGCAGGCCGACAACAUCAAGGUAUGAGAUCAUGUGGGAGCGUGAUGUCAAACUACCUUCGAUCAUCUCUGAAGCAUGGGCUAGGUACCGGCCUGCUAGUGAUUUGGGAUCAGUUGCCACAUCACUAAAACAGGUCAUGGGAGAUUUGAAAAAAUGGAGUUAA
rnacentral:rRNA from 1 species